AUUGAACGCUGGCGGCAGGCCUAACACAUGCAAGUCGAGCGCGCGGCGGACGGGUGAGUAAUGUCUGGGAAACUGCCUGAUGGAGGGGGAUAACUACUGGAAACGGUAGCUAAUACCGCAUACCAUCAGAUGUGCCCAGAUGGGAGUAGCUAGUAUGUGGGGUAACGGCCCACCUAGGCGACGAUCCCUAGCUGGUCUGAGAGGAUGACCCACCACACAGGAACUGAGACACGGUCCAGACUCCUACGAGAGGCAGCAGUGGGGAAUAGUGCACGAUGGGCGCAAGCCUGAUGCAGCCAUGCCGCGUGUGUGAAGAAGGCCUUCGGGUUGUAAAGCACUUUCAGCGGGGAGGCGUGACCCGCAGAAGAAGCACCGGCUAACUCCGUGCCAGCAGCCGCGGUAAUUC
rnacentral:rRNA from 1 species